rnacentral:rRNA from 1 species
GCAGUCGAGCGCAGGAAGCAAGUUGAUCCCCUUCGGGGGUGACGCUUGUGGAAUGAGCGGCGGACGGGUGAGUAACACGUGGGCAACCUGCCUGUAAGACUGGGAUAACCCCGGGAAACCGGGGCUAAUACCGGAUAAUACUUUCUUUUGCAUAAAGGAAAGUUGAAAGGCGGCUUCGGCUGUCACUUACAGAUGGGCCCGCGGCGCAUUAGCUAGUUGGUGAGGUAACGGCUCACCAAGGCGACGAUGCGUAGCCGACCUGAGAGGGUGAUCGGCCACACUGGGACUGAGACACGGCCCAGACUCCUACGGGAGGCAGCAGUAGGGAAUCUUCCGCAAUGGACGAAAGUCUGACGGAGCAACGCCGCGUGAGUGAUGAAGGUUUUCGGAUCGUAAAACUCUGUUGUUAGGGAAGAACAAGUACGAUAGUAACUGAUCGUACCUUGACGGUACCUAACCAGAAAGCCACGGCUAACUACGUGCCAGCAGCCGCGGUAAUACGUAGGUGGCAAGCGUUGUCCGGAAUUAUUGGGCGUAAAGCGCUCGCAGGCGGUCCUUUAAGUCUGAUGUGAAAUCUCGCGGCUCAACCGCGAACGGUCAUUGGAAACUGGAGGACUUGAGUACAGAAGAGGAGAGUGGAAUUCCACGUGUAGCGGUGAAAUGCGUA